ensembl:lncRNA
AUUAUCCGAGGGGAAGAAUUGACCUGGGAGCAUGAAAGCAGAAUAAAGAGGCUUACCGCUACCUGUGAGAAAAUACCCUCACUUGUGAACUUUGAAUUCACUUGAAACUGAAACUUGAGCCUGGAUUUCAGCAUCGGGAUUGACUGCCGAGCGUUCCCGGUGAACAGCCUUUGAUGAGCUGCUGGGCAGAGCGGGCUGGCUUUUCUGCAUGGCUGAGCUCCCGGCUCACACGGCCCCACUUCAGUGCAUGACUGACGGCCUCAGAAAGCGGCCUCCCUCUGCCCAGAGCAACUUGAGCUAACUUGCCAACACAGUUUAACUUUUGGAUUAAACAAGUUCGAGAUGUGCCUGAAAUGUUCCCGCAUGUAGAAAUCCCUCUGUGAAAGGGCAUGUGAAAGGUAUCAAAGAACUUAUUGAGGGAAAAAAAGAUCCAUUGAGGACUACUGAAGGCAAAACCAAUCCUUAUCUGGAGAAAUUGAACCACAAAGGAGCUGGGAGGAGGGAAGAGUAUACUGAGAAGUAUCACCAUGUUUGCUUUGUUCUCAUACUCUUCUCUGGGCUCCUGUAGUUGGUCACUGAAGUCCUUAAUCUUGUUCUGCAGUGUAGGUUUUCUGUUGAGCCUGUCACCUCCCUGGGACCAACCAUUUCAUGGCCCACAUGCCUAUGUCAGGAGCCAACUGCUUAGUGCUGAAGCCCGGAUCAUGCUCCAGACCAGUUAAGAACACCACCAAGGGAGACGGGUGUCAGUGGCACCCAGCAUGGUGUUUCUGCUGAGGGCAGUAGUCCUUGGGUGUGCAGUUCAGUUAUCAGGUGUUUCUCCAGGCUUCUUCCUCCAGCUGAGACAGCAAGGAGCUUUGCUGUACACCUGGGAUCAGUUCCCAGGAAACCACCCUCACAAAUUUGUGUUUGUUUUCCUUAUAAUGUGAAGCAACACCUACUUCCUUGCAGUUCCUGCUACACUGCUGUGUUGUGCUCAUUACUCUAGGACGUUCAAAAACAUCCAAGUGUGCCUAUGACUCUAGUAAUCUUUGUGUCAGUUUUAUUUGUUGCACAGAAGAGAGGCUAUAAUAAACACUAAACAGAGACAUGAGGAAAUCUUCA